UAGAGUUCUGUAAACCCCGGGCUCGGAACGGCGCCCGUCAUUCUCUUUCCAAAUGCCCGACUGGACGCUCGCUCCGGGGUGAGCCCCUAGAAGCCUUUCACACCUUGGAGAUUUCAGCAGCCUAAAGUCGUAACGACUAGGGCAAGUUCAGCACAGCCUGGGGAAAGUCACCGUUCACUGCAGCCCACGGGAUAACGUCCCGAGAAAGACUGCAAGCAGUUCAGAAAGAGAAAACGCAAAUAAGUGUGCCACUGAAAAGUCACAUUUGUAGAGUGAGUUCCGUCUUUUAGGAUGAGGAAAGCUAUGUUUAAGAAAAAACACCCAUGCAUGCAUUAAAGGACGGGUUUAGUGUGGGAUUUUGCAAGCUGGAGCAACUGGAAAGAGGAAGAGGCUGAACUGGCGACUAGAAGCAAAGCCCAAUAAUAGGGAAACGGUAUUUCUUCCUUCAAUUAAUGAUUAAUUCCUCAGCUGGUGGGCCAGGCGGUCUCUGACCUCCACGUGACAGCCAUGUGCCCCAGGGCUUCUCUCUUGGGAGGCAGAUUUGGUGGCCACCUCACUUUGGAGGAUGAAGGUGGAGGAUUCCUACCCACGGAGAGAUCUGCGGAGUGCCUUCACGAGGCCCUGAAACCCUAGCCUGCAAUUCUCUUCCUGACAGCGUUCCAUUAACGUUGCCUCUGAUAUUAAGUCUGGAAGUGAUUUACUACCCGAGUCCCCCCACAGUUCGAGCCUUUUGAUGUACUUUGUGUGCAUGUGUUUCUGUCACAUACGUGCCACAGUGGAACAGAUUUUGUUUUGACACUAUUUUGGUUCAUGAUGUUAUACUUUGACUAUUUUACAAUAAUAGCCAAUGUAAACAAACAUCUUUGGGAUUCUCAAAUUAUUACUUAUGAUUCUUGGACAUUGCAGCUCCGCGAUACUGACGCAUUCCUAGCUUUUUCCAAGGACACCGUAUGUUAACAUCCGUGCCAGCCUCAUUAUCCCAACAGUGAGGCUCUGGGCUGAUGGUAAUGAGCAUUGUGCGGUAUUACUUUACGCACUUGCAGAGUUGAUUCAGGCAGUGCCUUCUCCCAUGAUCAUUUUUGUACCCUGAUGUAGUAAAAUUGCUAAAUAUGGUGAAA